rnacentral:rRNA from 1 species
UUAAGUCUUGUAAUUGGAAUGAUGGGAAUUUAAACCUCUUCCAGAGUAUCAAUUGGAGGGCAAGUCUGGUGCCAGCAGCCGCGGUAAUUCCAGCUCCAAUAGCGUAUAUUAAAAUUGUUGCAGUUAAAAAGCUCGUAGUUGAAUUUCUGCUGCAUUGCUUGUGUCCCUCUGGGGUCUGUGCAUGUGGCUUUUUUCGGACGGAGUUUCUUUGUCUGAAUGUUUACUUUGAGAAAAUUAGAGUGCUCAAAGCAGGCUUUCGCCUUGAAUAGUUUAGCAUGGAAUAAUAAAGUAGGACUUUGGUUCUAUUUUGUUGGUUUUAGGUACCAAAGUAAUGGUUAAUAGGAACAGUUGGGGGCUNCNGUAUUUAA